rnacentral:rRNA from 1 species
CCUACGGGGAGCUGCAGUGGGGAAUAUUGGACAAUGGGCGAAAGCCUGAUCCAGCCAUGCCGCGUGUGUGAAGAAGGCCUUCGGGUUGUAAAGCACUUUCAGUGGGGAAGAAAGCCUUGGGGCUAAUACCCUCGAGGAAGGACAUCACCCACAGAAGAAGCACCGGCUAACUCCGUGCCAGCAGCCGCAGUAAUACGGAGGGUGCGAGCGUUAAUCGGAAUUACUGGGCGUAAAGCGCGCGUAGGCGGUCUGAUAAGCCGGUUGUGAAAGCCCCGGGCUCAACCUGGGAACGGCAUCCGGAACUGUCAGGCUAGAGUGCAGGAGAGGAAGGUAGAAUUCCCGGUGUAGCGGUGAAAUGCGUAGAGAUCGGGAGGAAUACCAGUGGCGAAGGCGGCCUUCUGGACUGACACUGACGCUGAGGUGCGAAAGCGUGGGUAGCAAACAGGAUUAGAUACCCUUGUAGUC